GGGGGGGGCGGGGGGGGGGCGGGGCGGGGGCGAGUCGGGCGGAAGGGCCCGGCUUUUGUGGGGUGCGCGAGUGGCGAACGGGUGAGUAACACGUGAGUAACCUGCCCUUGACUUUGGGAUAACUUCAGGAAACUGGGGCUAAUACCGGAUAGGAGCUCCUGCUGCAUGGUGGGGGUUGGAAAGUUUCGGCGGUUGGGGAUGGACUCGCGGCUUCUCAGCUUGUUGGUGGGGUAGUGGCUUACCAAGGCUUUGACGGGUAGCCGGCCUGAGAGGGUGACCGGCCACAUUGGGACUGAGAUACGGCCCAGACUCCUACGGGAGGCAGCAGUGGGGAAUAUUGCACAAUGGGCGGAAGCCUGAUGCAGCAACGCCGCGUGCGGGAUGACGGCCUUCGGGUUGUAAACCGCUUUCGCCUGUGACGAAGCGUGAGUGACGGUAAUGGGUAAAGAAGCACCGGCUAACUACGUG
rnacentral:rRNA from 1 species